rnacentral:rRNA from 1 species
AAMAAAGUUUCSCUNCNUGAACCUGCGGCAGGAUCNUUAUUNAAAGAAACCUCAGGNAGGGGGRGGGGGGUGUAGCAUGGCCCUYAGGGGCAUGUGCACACCGUGUCUCUCUUGCUUGUUUCUUCAUUCUCWCCACAUUGUGCACGUGCAUUGUAGGCACGCCCYGGCAUUGUUCAGGUUGUCUAUGAUUUUCGUUUACAWACAUGAACACUUGUUGUACAGAAUGUGAUAAAAAAUAGUAAUACAACUUUCAACAACGGAUCUCUUGGCUCUCGCAUCGAUGAAGAACGCAGCGAAAUGCGAUAAGUAAUGUGAAUUGCAGAAUUCAGUGAAUCAUCGAAUCUUUGAACGCAUCUUGCGCUCCUUGGUAUUCCGAGGAGCAUGCCUGUUUGAGUGUCAUUAAAUUCUCUCAAAGCAUACACUUGAGUGUGUGUUUUGGAUUGUGGGAGUGUCUGCUGGCUUUAUGAGCCAGCUCUCCUGAAAGACAUUAGCUUUGGGGGGGACGGUGCCAAGUCACUUCUGCCUUUCCAGUUGGUGUGAUAAGACUGAAUUAAACUUAUCUACGCCAGGAAAGCACGGCUGCAGGGUGAUGCACCCGUGAUCUCUCUCUGCUUUCUAGAUUGACAUUUGUCUGANAACYUGACCUCAARUCAGGUAGSMCUACCCGCUGGAACUUAAGCANAAAAANAAGCGGG